UAAUUAAAUUUCUUAUAAAUAUAAUUGGAGUAUGUAAUGUAAUAAAGCAUUUAUCAAUUAAGUAGUGGAGAUUGAAAUUUAUAGUUUAAAGAAAGAAGUACUGUAAAGGAAAUAAAUUGUUUAUAUUAGUGUUAGCUGCAGGUUUGUGUGUACCUUUUGCAUCAUGGUUUAGCUAGAAUAUAUAUAUGUAGUUAUAUUUUUAGAAAUUUAAUGAGCUACCUUUGAUAAAAUUUUUGGGUUUAUGGAGAUAAGUGUUGUAAAAUUUUACUUAAAAUUUAAGGUUGUAAUGAAAUGUUAUUCGCAUUGAAUGAUAGCUAAUUCUUUUUGAAAUAUAUAUAAGUAUAGUUCUAAAGGUUAAUAAUGUAUGUAUGUGUAAUAUUAUAUAUUAUGGUAAGUUUUAGAAUUUAGGUGAUUAAGGAUCAGCUUGGUCAUAAAUUGGACGAUAUAUGUAGUAGGUAUAAAUUAUAUUUAGGAUUGAAAUCAAAAAUAAUUUAAGAAAUCGUUAUAGAUCAUUAUUAUUUGACUUUUUAAAUUUAUAUAUUUAACUGUCUCUAUUUAUUAUAAAAGUGUAUUGUUUAAUUAGUAUUGAAAGUUAUAAUUAUGCUAAAAUGAGUAUUUUAUUGUUUUUAAUUAAUUUAUGUAAGUAAGUUUAUGUAAAUAUGUAUGAAUUGUUGUAAUGAAAUAAUUAUUAAGUUGAUAAAAGGAACUCGACAAAUACUAAUUCUGCCUGUUUAGCAAAAACAUGUCUCUUUGUUUGUGUUUUUAUAGAGAGUCUGACCUGCCCGGUGAUAUAUUAUUUAACGGCCGCGGUACUUUGACCGUGCAAAGGUAGCAUAAUCAUUUGCCUUAUAAUUGAAGGCUUGUAUGAAGGGUUUGACAAGAAUUAAUCUGUCUCUUAUGAAUUAAAAUGAAAUUGACUUUUAGGUGUAAAGGCCUAAAUGUCACUAAUAGACAAGAAGACCCUAUUGAGCUUUAAAGAUUUGUAGAUAGUGUAGAUUAUAUAUGAGUGAAAUUGUAAGCUGUUGGGAUUUUUAGUUGGGGCGACUAUUGGAACAGGUGAAGCUUCCAGAAUUUUGUAAUAUUUAAUAUUAAUUUAUUUAAAUUAGAUCCAAAAUGUUUUGAUUAAUAGAAUAAGUUACCAUAGGGAUAACAGCAUAAUCUAUCUUAAGAGCUCUAAUCGAAAGAAAGGUUUGUGACCUCGAUGUUGGAUUAAAAUAUCCUAAGGGUGUAGAAGUUCUUGAGGGUUGGUCUGUUCGACCAUUAAAAUUUUACAUGAUCUGAGUUCAGACCGGCGUAAGCCAGGUCAGUUUCUAUCUUUAGUUUAUGAAAUCAAGUUUUAGUACGAAAGGACCAAACUUAGAGGAUACAUUUGUAUAUCCUAUUUAGAUGAUGUUAUAUAAUGAAUGUGUUAGUUUUAUCUUUA
rnacentral:rRNA from 1 species